UUACUUAUUCAAAAGUCAAAGCCAGUGGA
rnacentral:piRNA from 1 species